rnacentral:lncRNA from 1 species
AUUGGGAUGGGGUGUAACAGUGCCCUUUGACAAAACUGCACAGCCAUAGAGGGCACAAUAAUAUUUUAGUUGAUGCAUUGUUGCUUUUGUUCUAUGGGCACAUAUGUUGGUGUCCUUUGACUUCAUAGGGCACAUUUAAUUUUUUGUGUACAGUGCUCAUAUUUUUUUGUAGUGCGGCUAAUAUAGCAACUGUUACAAACUUAUGAUUAUACCAAUAUAUAGUCAUACCAUAGUAACUGUUACAGACUUCUGAUUAUACUAGUAUAUAGUCAUACCAUAGUAGUUACAGACUUAUGAUACAAAUGCAAUUACUAAGGGAAAUAAUAAUUUACUAGAAAGGGGUCCUAUCCAGAUUCUUUUCACCUAAUCCUUCUCAUCAAAUAAUCUGGGGCCUUGAAAUUUGAUCCAACUGCUAAAAACACGAGCCCACUUUAAAAGUUAUAAUAACUUUAGCCGUUAAAUCAAAUUUUAAGAACUCGGAUUGUUUGAUGAAGAGGAUUAGGUGAAAGGGAUCCGGAGAAGAUCCCUUUCUGAAUUUAGUGCGACGCUGUUAAGAACACGUGCUAAAGAAAAGAAAUAAUACUAUGGUGUGUCAGGCCAUAAAAUUAGACUAGACUCUCGUUCAAACACCAUGGAAAGAAAAAUUGGCAAAUUCACAAUGGCUUCCAUAUAUGCUCAUUUCAGCACGGUUCAAGGAGUUUGUGGCAAUUUUCGGAUAAUUUUUCAGUUUUGUAUGAUUUUAUAUGAAUUUUACACCGUAUAUUGUAUUUUAUCGAAUAUAUGAUUCAGUAUCAAAACGACGAGCAUGUUUCAAGGAAUCUGUAUCAAUUUUAGAAUAUUUUUACGAUUUUUCUCUGAUUUUAUUCUCAAGAAAAACACAUAUAACUUCUUAUUCUCACUGCCAUGUGACAGCUUCUAUGUCAUCACUAGGGUUUAGGGUAUUAUUUCAUUACGUGUCACAAGGCAUCAUCCAAAAAAUACCCACAAGGGUAGUAUCGAAAUUUGGUUGUACACAACCCAAAUAUGUGAUGCAUUUUGAUUGGUCCAAACUCUUGCAAAACUUAGGUGGCAGCACCUGAUAAGGCCACAUGUUAUUUAACAAUAAAUUAAUUUGACAUCCGAGUUUGUAUCUGAGUUUACAUCCAAGUUUCAUCAACGCAACUCACCCAAGUCAUCUGAGCUUACAUCCAAGUUUCAUCAACGCAACUCACCCAGGUCAACUAUAAGUCCAACUCAACCCAAGUCAACAAUAUAAACCCUAAACACAACAUGUCAACAAGUAUUCAUAAAUUUAAACAAGUUUUCAUCAACACAACUCAACCAAGUUAAAAAUAUAACUCCAUCUCAACCAAAUUUAACAGUAUAAAACCUAAACACAACUUUCAACAAGUAUUCAUAAACCUGUAUCAAUCUCAAAUUUCAACAAACUUCAUCAACAAUCAUGAAUAAUUAACCAUGAACGCUAAAUUAAUUUUAAAAAAAUUGAACAUAAAUAAAAAGUUUACUUACCAGGGUUCCAAAAUUUCAAAG